rnacentral:rRNA from 1 species
AACGAACGCUGGCGGCAUGCCUAACACAUGCAAGUCGAACGAGGCCUUCGGGUCUAGUGGCGCACGGGUGCGUAACGCGUGGGAACCUGCCCUUAGGUUCGGAAUAACUCCCCGAAAGGGGUGCUAAUACCGGAUAAUGUCUUCGGACCAAAGAAUUAUCGCCUUUGGAUGGGCCCGCGUUGGAUUAGCUAGUUGGUAGGGUAAAAGCCUACCAAGGCGACGAUCCAUAGCUGGUCUGAGAGGAUGAUCAGCCACACUGGGACUGAGACACGGCCCAGACUCCUACGGGAGGCAGCAGUGGGGAAUAUUGGACAAUGGGCGAAAGCCUGAUCCAGCAAUGCCGCGUGAGUGAUGAAGGCCUUAGGGUUGUAAAGCUCUUUUACCCGGGAUGAUAAUGACAGUACCGGGAGAAUAAGCUCCGGCUAACUCCGUG